GCCUGACAAUUCAUGGAUUAAUAUCAUCUAAGAUCAGCACUACAUCUUCUCUAAUGGGUCUGUCUCUGUCAUCUAUUAUUCGAGGAAUAUCAGUAUCCCUUCCCUCCUGAUGUAAUGGCUCUUCUCUAACCUGAUGAUUUCUAGUUCUUUCCAUUUCUCGUAAUUAUUUUCUCCUUCUUCUCAAGGUUCUCUCAAUUUUCAAAUCAAAAGAAUACUCUUCAACUACUGAAAUAUCUCUACUCAUGCACCAACAAAAAUCAUAAAAAACAAAAAAAAAUCCAAACACUAAUUAAGCUAAACUAAUAAAAUUAAAGAGAUAAUAACACACAAAAUAUUUAACCAAAAUUGUCGAUCCCCAGAAACGACGCCAAAAACUUGU
rnacentral:lncRNA from 1 species